UACAGAGGGUGCAAGCGUUAAUCGGAUUUACUGGGCGUAAAGGGCGCGUAGGUGGUAAAGCAAGUAAGAUGUGAAAGCCCUGGGCUUAACCUGGGAAGUGCAUCUUAAACUGCUUAACUAGAGUAUGGUAGAGGGUAGUGGAAUUUCCGGUGUAGCGGUGAAAUGCGUAGAGAUCGGAAGGAACGCCAGUGGUGAAGACGACUACCUGGACCAAUACUGACACUGAUGCUCGAAAGCUAGGGGAGCAAACAGG
rnacentral:rRNA from 1 species